GCCCUUCAAAUUUCAAAUUUAUGCAAACAAAAACCGCACUAGUUUGCUGUAUUUUUCGGGGUUAAAGUUCGUUGCACUAGAACUGUAUAUUUUUAGAAAACUUUCGAAGAAACCGACGCAGACAUACUGGCUGCAUCAUCGGCAUACACUGCCACAAAGUGUUUGGUUGCUGUCGUUGUUGUUGCUGUUGUCGGUGCCGACGCGACUGCUGCGGACAUAUUGGAGUUUCUUGUUUUUCAAUCACAAUAAGUUCAAAAUCGCUGGUGGAUGCUGCCGAGAAAUGCUGAAAUUAAUAAAAAAAAAAAAAAAAUUAUGUUUUUGCAAUAAAUGCGUCCAAGUCUGAUUUCAAUUAAUAUUAA